rnacentral:rRNA from 2 species
GCAAGUCGAACGCACUCUCGUUUAGAUUGAAGGAGCUUGCUCCUGAUUGAUAAACAUUUGAGUGAGUGGCGGACGGGUGAGUAACACGUGGGUAACCUGCCCUAAAGUGGGGGAUAACAUUUGGAAACAGAUGCUAAUACCGCAUAAAACCUAACACCGCAUGGUGUAGGGUUGAAAGAUGGUUUCGGCUAUCACUUUAGGAUGGACCCGCGGUGCAUUAGUUAGUUGGUGAGGUAAAGGCUCACCAAGACCGUGAUGCAUAGCCGACCUGAGAGGGUAAUCGGCCACACUGGGACUGAGACACGGCCCAGACUCCUACGGGAGGCAGCAGUAGGGAAUCUUCCACAAUGGACGAAAGUCUGAUGGAGCAACGCCGCGUGAGUGAAGAAGGUUUUCGGAUCGUAAAACUCUGUUGUUGGAGAAGAAUGUAUCUGAUAGUAACUGAUCAGGUAGUGACGGUAUCCAACCAGAAAGCCACGGCUAACUACGUGCCAGCAGCCGCGGUAAUACGUAGGUGGCAAGCGUUGUCCGGAUUUAUUGGGCGUAAAGCGAGCGCAGGCGGUUUCUUAAGUCUGAUGUGAAAGCCUUCGGCUCAACCGAAGAAGUGCAUCGGAAACUGGGAAACUUGAGUGCAGAAGAGGACAGUGGAACUCCAUGUGUAGCGGUGAAAUGCGUAGAUAUAUGGAAGAACACCAGUGGCGAAGGCGGCUGUCUGGUCUGUAACUGACGCUGAGGCUCGAAAGCAUGGGUAGCAAACAGGAUUAGAUACCCUGGUAGUCCAUGCCGUAAACGAUGAGUGCUAGGUGUUGGAGGGUUUCCGCCCUUCAGUGCCGCAGCUAACGCAUUAAGCACUCCGCCUGGGGAGUACGACCGCAAGGUUGAAACUCAAAGGAAUUGACG